AUUGAACGCUGGCGGCAGGCCUAACACAUGCAAGUCGAGCGAGCGGCGGACGGGUGAGUAAUGUCUGGGAAACUGCCCGAUGGAGGGGGAUAACUACUGGAAACGGUAUCUAAUACCGCAUACCAUCAGAUGUGCCCAGAUGGGAUGAGCUAGUAGGUGGGGUAAUGGCUCACCUAGGCGACGAGCCCUAGCUGGUCUGAGAGGAUGACCAGCAACACUGGAACUGGGACACGGUCCAGACUGCGACGGGAGGCAGCAGUGGGGAAUAUUGCACAAUGGGCGGAAGCCUGAUGCAGCCAUGGGGCGUGUAUGAAGAAGGCCUUCGGGUUGUAAAGUACUUUAAGCGAGGAGGCGUUACUCGCAGAAGAAGCACCGGCUAACUCCGUGCCAGCAGCCGCGGUAAUUC
rnacentral:rRNA from 1 species